rnacentral:rRNA from 1 species
GGGCGAAAGCCUGAUGCAGCGACGCCGCGUGAGGGACGACGGCCUUCGGGUUGUAAACCUCUUUCAGCAGGGACGAAGCGCAAGUGACGGUACCUGCAGAAGAAGCACCGGCUAACUACGUGCCAGCAGCCGCGGUAAUACGUAGGGUGCAAGCGUUGUCCGGAAUUACUGGGCGUAAAGAGUUCGUAGGCGGUUUGUCACGUCGUUUGUGAAAACUCACAGCUCAACUGUGAGCCUGCAGGCGAUACGGGCAGACUUGAGUACUGCAGGGGAGACUGGAAUUCCUGGUGUAGCGGUGAAAUGCGCAGAUAUCAGGAGGAACACCGGUGGCGAAGGCGGGUCUCUGGGCAGUAACUGACGCUGAGGAACGAAAGCGUGGGUAGCGAACAGGAUUAGAUACCCUGGUAGUCCACGCCGUAAACGGUGGGCGCUAGGUGUGGGUUCCUUCCACGGAAUCCGUGCCGUAGCUAACGCAUUAAGCGCCCCGCCUGGGGAGUACGGCCGCAAGGCUAAAACUCAA